rnacentral:lncRNA from 1 species
AUGAAGAAACAAUGGAACAUCAGAGCUGGAGAAAUGGAGGCAUUUCAUCUCCAGCUCCAGGAGCGUGCUGAACGCAUACAGAAACUGAAAGCUGUUGUAAGUCCAUUACUGCUCAAUCAAACUCACUGGUUUGGUAUGAUGAUAAAGAGCUAUCUUAAUGGGGUUUAUGUUAUGGCUCCCAACAGUGGGGACCGAUGGAACCACUUAAAGAGAAUCACAGUGGGGAUGCCAGGAUCCCUAGUGCCACCGACACCCAAUCUACCGUUACAGAUAUCAAGAGUGAGGAAAACAUUGAGAUCGAGGUCACUGUGAUGAAGAAUGCAACCUUAGUAAGUUAAUGUAUAGUCUUGUGUAAGCUAGGAGACAUUUGGUUAAGUUACUGAAAUAAGUAGAUGAAAAGAAUGGGUGUGAUUACAGAAAGGACCCUCUUUUCAGUUUACCCCAAAACUGUAAAUACUAUAAUAUUUUACAAUGGAUCAGUUGUUUGCUCUAGCACUUAAAAAUGCAGAAUCUUCUACAGAUCAACACCACACUGGAGGAGGUGAACAGGGGUCUUCAGGGUAGGCUAUGUUACAAACACACAACAUAUGUCUCACCAGCCAGAAUCACUUUGUUCUGUAUUGAUAUGUUCUUUACUUUACAUGUAUAUCUGUUUACUUUGCAACAGACAAAAAUUGUCAGCUUGAAGAGAAGAAUGUCGCUCUACAUCAAAAACUCCACAGCACUGAGAAGAUGUAUAGACAGACUCUAAACGAGCUGUAAGUGGAUUUUGAUAUUAGUUUGAUCAUAUUAGGAUUUGUUCUCAUUCACAUGACAUGCACAUUGGUGUUUGUCUUUUCACAGGACCAAAGCCCUGAUUCAAGGCAAACAUGAGGAAAAGCAACAUGUAAGUAAGCCUAAGACAGCCUGCCAAAUACUGAUCCAUAACCGCUCAAUAGUAAGCUAAACUACGAAGUACUUAAACCAAACCAUAAGCCCCAGUAUCAACACUCGUAUUGGGUCACGUGAUAGGAUGUCUUUGCACACAUUUCUAACGCAAUUUUUGUUCUCUCUUCAGAUUGACACGCUACAAGAGAAAAUCCAGACCAUAUCUGUAAGUAGAACAUUCACUUUAAAGUUAGCUACUGUAGUUGCACUAAGGUGUUAUUAGCUACGUUUUGCUAGUUACUCUGUGUCUUGCUGUACACUAAGAUAUACAGUGUUGCUUGAAUGUAUGUGAACCCUACAGGACUGUUCAUUAUUUUGCUAUAAAAUCAACAUAUAAAAUCCUUAUCUAAACCCCAAUUCAUAAGAAAAACAU